GGCCUCGUGGCCCAAUGGCAAGGCGUCUGACUACGAUGAGAACUGAUUUAUAUAUGCUCUCAUAUUAUAGCAAUUCCAUUGGUAUCAGGAGAUUCCAGGUUCGACCCCUGGCGUGGUCA